UUGAUGGUCUUUGCAAAUACA
rnacentral:siRNA from 1 species